UGCAAGUCGAACGGCAGCACGGGUGCUUGCACCUGGUGGCGAGUGGCGAACGGGUGAGUAAUACAUCGGAACGUACCUUAUCGUGGGGGAUAACGCAGCGAAAGUUGCGCUAAUACCGCAUACGCCCUGAGGGGGAAAGCGGGGGACCGUAAGGCCUCGCGCGAUUAGAGCGGCCGAUGUCUGAUUAGCUUGUUGGUGAGGUAAAAGCUCACCAAGGCGAUGAUCAGUAGCUGGUCUGAGAGGACGAUCAGCCACACUGGGACUGAGACACGGCCCAGACUCCUACGGGAGGCAGCAGUGGGGAAUUUUGGACAAUGGGGGCAACCCUGAUCCAGCAAUGCCGCGUGAGUGAAGAAGGCCUUCGGGUUGUAAAGCUCUUUUGUCAGGGAAGAAACAGCAGCUCUAACACAGUCUGCGAAUGACGGUACCUGAAGAAUAAGCACCGGCUAACUACG
rnacentral:rRNA from 1 species